GACGAACGCUGGCGGCGUGCUUAACACAUGCAAGUCGAACGGAAAGGCCCUGCUUUUGUUCGUUGCUCGAUUGCCGAACGGGUGAGUAACACGUGAGUAACCUGCCCUUGACUUUGUGAUAUCUUCAGGAAACUCGGGCGCAUAUCCCAUAUGAUCUCCUGCUGCACGUUGUUGGUUGGUGAGUUUCGGCGGUUGUGGAUCGACUGGAGGCUUAUCCGCUUGUUUGUGGGGUAGGUGCUUACCAAGGCUUUGACGGGUAGCCGGCCUGAGAGGGUGACCGGGCACAUUGGGCCUGCGAUACGGCCCAGACUCGUACGGGACGCAGCAGUGGGGAAUAUUGCAGAAUGGGCGGAAGCGUGAUGCAGCAACGCCGCGUGCGGGAUGACGGCCUUCGGGUUGUAAACAGCUUUCGACUGUGACGAAGAGUGAGUGACGGUAAUGGGUAAAGAAGCCACGGCUAACUACGUG
rnacentral:rRNA from 1 species